rnacentral:rRNA from 1 species
GACGAACGCUGGCGGCGUGCUUAACACAUGCAAGUCGAACGGAAAGGCCCUGCUUUUGUGGGGUGCUCGAGUGGCGAACGGGUGAGUAACACGUGAGUAACCUGCCCUUGACUUUGGGAUAACUUCAGGAAACUGGGGCUAAUACCGGAUAGGAGCUCCUGCUGCAUGGUGGGGGUUGGAAAGUUUCGGCGGUUGGGGAUGGACUCGCGGCUUAUCAGCUUGUUGGUGGGGUAGUGGCUUACCAAGGCUUUGACGGGUAGCCGGCCUGAGAGGGUGACCGGCCACAUUGGGACUGGGAUACGGCCCAGACUCCUCAGGGGGGCAGCAGGGGGGAAUAUUGCACAAUGGGCGGAAGCCGGAAGCAGAAACGCCGGGUGGGGGAAGACGGCCUUCGGGUUGGAAAACGCUUUCGCCUGUGACGAAGCGGGGGUGGCGGUAAUGGGUGAAGGAGCACCGGCUAACUACGU